AUUGAACGCUGGCGGCAGGCCUAACACAUGCAAGUCGAACGGUAACAGGAAGAAGCUUGCUUCUUUGCUGACGAGUGGCGGACGGGUGAGUAAUGUCUGGGAAACUGCCUGAUGGAGGGGGAUAACUACUGGAAACGGUAGCUAAUACCGCAACGUCGCAAGACCAAAGAGGGGGACCUUCGGGCCUCUUGCCAUCGGAUGUGCCCAGAUGGGAUUAGCUAGUAGGUGGGGUAACGGCUCACCUAGGCGACGAUCCCUAGCUGGUCUGAGAGGAUGACCAGCCACACUGGAACUGAGACACGGUCCAGACUCCUACGGGAGGCAGCAGUGGGGAAUAUUGCACAAUGGGCGCAAGCCUGAUGCAGCCAUGCCGCGUGUAUGAAGAAGGCCUUCGGGUUGUAAAGUACUUUCAGCGGGGAGGAAGGGAGUAAAGUUAAUACCUUUGCUCAUUGACGUUACCCGCAGAAGAAGCACCGGCUAACUCCGUG
rnacentral:rRNA from 1 species